GGCCGGAGACCGACUAGUCCGAAUUUUACUCUCAAACUGUACGGUUUGACAGCAGCGCAGUUGUUAGCAGAAUAACAGUAUCGCAGAGAGAGUGCAGAGAGGUGGGCAGGCAGGGCAAGCCAGCGCGUCGUGUGUUUUCUUCUUUCUUCCUUAAAAAAAUCUGCCACACUGCCACAAAAAACAACAACAGUUGUUCCAGAGAGAGAGAGAGAGAGCUAGCGAGCGAGCGAGAGAGAGAAUAUCCAAAAGUUUAAACAAUUAAAAUCUGUGGGCUUCAGUGCAAUACCAAGUCGAACACUAAAAAACAUUCCAACUAAAACUCGUUUAACCCUUGAUCCAAGUGCAAUUAAAAACAAACAAAAAUCCACUACAAAAAAAAAAUCAACGAAAAGUUUUUUGUGACGCUGUGUUCAUUGUUUUGCUUAUAAAAAAAUAAAUACAAAAAUCAAAAACCAAUUAACUUUUAUAUUCUUCAAAAAAAAACAAAAAAUAUAUUAUAAACUUAAUAAGCAUUUAAACAAACAAUUGCUGCAAUAAAAAUACAUAAUUUUGUGCAAUAAAAAAAAACGCCUUAAAAAAGUCUAAGGAUUUUUGCUAAAUCAAAAUAAAAACAAAAAACUUUCUAAAUAAGAUAAAUUGUUAUAUAAAAAAAAAAAAGUUUCUAAAAUUUUAAAUACAAGCAAAUUUUGUCAACUAUUCAAGUGCUAAAUAAAUACAGUUAAAAUACAAUUUGCGGAGACGGAUUACAAUUAAGACUUUAACUGCAAUUUUUUCCAUCUUUGUA